rnacentral:rRNA from 1 species
GACGAACGCUGGCGGCGUGCUUAACACAUGCAAGUCGAACGGUAAGGCCCUUCGGGGUACACGAGUGGCGAACGGGUGAGUAACACGUGGGUGAUCUGCCCUGCACUUCGGGAUAAGCCUGGGAAACUGGGUCUAAUACCGGAUAGGACCCUGGGAUGCAUGUCCUGGGGUGGAAAGCUUUUGCGGUGUGGGAUGGGCCCGCGGCCUAUCAGCUGGUUGGUGGGGUGAUAGCCUACAAAGGCGACGACGGGGAGCCGGCCUGAGAGGGUGACCGGCCACACUGGGACUGAGAUACGGCCCAGACUCCUACGGGAGGCAGCAGUGGGGAAUAUUGCACAAUGGGCGCAAGCCUGAUGCAGCGACGCCGCGUGAGGGAUGACGGCCUUCGGGUUGUAAACCUCUUUCAGCACCGACGAAGCGCAAGUGACGGUAGGUGCAGAAGAAGGACCGGCCAACUACGUGCCAGCAGCCGCCGUAA